UACGUAGGUGGCAAGCGUUGUCCGGAUUUAUUGGGUUUAAAGGGUGCGUAGGCGGCCCUGUAAGUCCGCUGUGAAAGCCCGGGGCUCAACCCCGGAGGGUCACCGGAAACCGACAGUCUUGAGUCCGGAAGAGGCGAGUGGAAUUCCCGGUGUAGCGGUGAAAUGCGCAGAUAUCGGGAGGAACACCAAUGGCGAAGGCAGCUCGCUGGGACGUUACUGACGCUGAGACGCGAAAGCGUGGGGAGCAAACAGGG
rnacentral:rRNA from 1 species